rnacentral:rRNA from 1 species
AUUGAACGCUGGCGGCAUGCCUAACACAUGCAAGUCGAGCGGAGCUGCGGACGGGCGAGUGAUGACUAGGAAUCUGCCCGGUCGUGGUGGAUAAGGUACGGAUACGGGAGCUAAUAUAGCAUACUCUCAGAUGAGCCUAGGUCGGAUUAGCUAGUUGGGGGGGUAAAGGCCUACUAAGGCGACGAUCCGUAACUGGUCUGAGAGGAUGAUCAGUCACACUGGAACUGAGACACGGUCCAGACUCCUACGGGAGGCAGCAGUGGGGAAUAUUGGACAAUGGGCGAAAGCCUGAUCCAGCCAUGCCGCGUGUGUGAAGAAGGUCUUCGGAUUGUAAAGCACUUUAAGUUGGGAGGCGUUACCAACAGAAUAAGCACCGGCUAACUUCGUGCCAGCAGCCGCGGUAAUAC